GAACAGACGGUAACAAAGGAUAUUAAGCAACAUGUUCGAUAUGUGUUUCUCGGUAACUCGAUCUGUGUUGCUAAAUAUAGUCUUACUUGUGUCCGAGUUCGUGCGCUGCGACGUGCACUGUGAGAGCGUUCAUCUUCUCCUCUAUCACAGACACUGACCAGUUAGUGCACAUCCGACUCAGGAACGACAAACCUUUAUAAUCAAACACAAAAGGAAUAUAUUACUAAAUAAGUAAUGCAAUUCAAAAUAAAGAAACGCCGCAAAAGUGCAUGUUAAGACAUUUUAACACCAUACCUAUUGUUUUGGGGGAAUCCAGAUCUUUGUAGUAUAAGUCAAACCUGGUAAAAUAAUUGAAGGCAUCUUCAUGUAUGCAAUAUGAUACUCAUUUUAGUUUUUACGCCAUAAGAACAUGCUACAAUUUUUUCAAUAAGUUGUACUGAAUUACCCGGUAAACAGUGCGGCGUGGUCAUGUGGUAUGAUGUUCUGUAGGAAUUGUUUCGACCAAUCAGAGAACUGUCUGAGCACCUCGUAGUCGUCUACAAUGUCACAUCCGGGGCACACAGCGUGGUGCUGGGUCCAAGGCGGACUGUUGGUCUCCUGUAAACAGAUGACCUUAUAAGUACCGACUGUCUAGUCAGUGAGGUCGCGACUUGUGAAGUAUGGAGAUUAUCAUUCAUACUUACGUUGAAGAUGACGAUGCCAGAGAGAAUAAUGUUAAAUGUGUAUUUCUCACUAUCUGCCGACCGGAAUAUAGCGUCUAUCUGUAAAACAAUUAAUUAUACAUGUAAAUGAAGAUUUCUUAAAUCAAUCUCUCUCUCUCUCUCUCUCUCUCUCUCUCUCUCUCUCUCUCUCUCUCUCUCUCUCAUUAUGCUUACCGAGUUGACUACGUGAUCGUAAAAUUCCACCAUCCGUGUCUUUGUCACGUGAUCUCUCUCAGAGUUUGAUAGACUGCUAUUCGUGGUGGAAAACCAUCUGUCAGAGAAAAAUACAGUGAAUAUUUGAUAUUAUAAUUUUUUGGAUUUGAUAACAAAAUCUUUUAAUCAAAGUACUGAAGAACUGACGGGAGUUGAUUUUGUCGAUGUUUGUUUAUCUUAAAAUCAAUGAUAUGUUAUUUUGCAUGACAAGUACAUGUAGUUUCUAAUUUGUAUUUGAAUUACACACAUUUU
rnacentral:sRNA from 1 species